ACGGGUGAGUAAUACAUCGGAACAUGUCCUGUAGUGGGGGAUAGCCCGGCGAAAGCCGGAUUAAUACCGCAUACGAUCUACGGAUGAAAGCGGGGGACCUUCGGGCCUCGCGCUAUAGGGUUGGCCGAUGGCUGAUUAGCUAGUUGGUGGGGUAAAGGCCUACCAAGGCGACGAUCAGUAGCUGGUCUGAGAGGACGACCAGCCACACUGGGACUGAGACACGGCCCAGACUCCUACGGGAGGCAGCAGUGGGGAAUUUUGGACAAUGGGCGAAAGCCUGAUCCAGCAAUGCCGCGUGUGUGAAGAAGGCCUUCGGGUUGUAAAGCACUUUUGUCCGGAAAGAAAUCCUUGGUUCUAAUAUAGCCGGGGGAUGACGGUACCGGAAGAAUAAGCACCGGCUAACUACGUGCCAGCAGCCGCGGUAAUACGUAGGGUGCGAGCGUUAAUCGGAAUUACUGGGCGUAAAGCGUGCGCAGGCGGUUUGCUAAGACCGAUGCGAAAUCCCCGGGCUCAACCUGGGAACUGCAUUGGUGACUGGCAGGCUAGAGUAUGGCAGAGGGGGGUAGAAUUCCACGUGUAGCA
rnacentral:rRNA from 1 species